UCGCGAGCUGCUGCAAAGCUAGGCUACCGGCAAGCGGGAAGCGGGACUGAGUUGUAGCCAGGAGCCGAAAGGCCGGGUGACUGCUGCUGUCAGUCUCCGCGGGCCGGAGCAAACCUCCCGAGACAGGGCGUGGGAGCUUGAGGAGUUCGGAGAGCGGGCUGUGGAAUCGUGCCUGGGUCUUUGGUUUGAGCCCUGGCUUCGGCCUUACUCGUAUUUCCCUGCAAGUACGGCCCCUCUCAGUCUUUCCUGAAGUCGGUGGGGUUUGGACUUUAUUAUUAUUAUUUUGUUGAGAGUCCAUUGUAUGGAAGCACCGGUUGACCUGCGCAGCGCGCCGUGGAGACCGCCAUGAGGUAGAAGCUAGGGGAGGGAGGGCUUAGAGAUGCGUGUAUGGUUUACCUGCGUGCAGUAUUGGAGGUAAGUUGGCUUUUUAAAUUGUGCUGAUGACUUUGUAGUCUAGGAGCUUAAGUUUAGGAGGGAGGGGCGCCCAGUGACCGAAUUAAACGUUCAUUUAUUGAGCCUCGUCCUAUGUACCAGGCACUGUUCCGAGUGCGAUGGAUGCAAAGGCCAGGAAGACACUGGCCUGGUUCUUGAGGAAGUCCGUGCCAUGGGGCCGAUGGCAGAGAUGGAAGGAGGGGUAUGUGCAUGGGUAAAUAAGUAGCGUGUGAUGGCGUGCUGUGGUGGGGAAAAGUGCUGUGUAAGUGAGACGAGAGGAUGACAGAGUUAGAGACCACUUAGAGAAGGUGACGUUUGAGUAAGGUUACUAUAAUUAGAAGUUCUCCAGGUUGAAAGGGUUGGGGGAGGCACUCCAGAUGGAGCAAAGUGUACUGAGGAAGAGAACUAGGAAUGUGUGCGUGCUGUGAAUGGCGGGAGCACACUUGGAGCUCCGCUCCCAAGUUUCGUGCUUUUAGACAAAGUUAUUUAAGUUCUCUCAGCCUCUGUUUUCCUCGUUUUUAAUGUGUACUUCACCGGUGUAGGAAGAUGAACUAAAGACUCCAGCGUAGCCCCUGUAAAACAGGCACUUUGUUAGUCCCCUCGCCCCCCGCCCCUUUUUAAUGGAGUUUAAUUGCUGAAUGGUUAACACAGACCAACAGCUGUCAAUUUUUAACUAAGGAGUAUCAAUCUAUUGACAUUUAUAGAUGGCUGAAGGAAGCAUGUGCUGUCUCCAGAAUUGUUACUUAGGUACUGACAACACCAUGCUGAAAGGCUGGGGAGGGUGACAUUGUGAUCCAAGUACUUUUCCACGUCAGUGACAACAUACCACCAGAAGGUGUCAUUUAGAAUAAAUGAAAUGCAGUCAGCUUUCUUACUCAGAAAUUGAUUAUCCAGGUUUUGAAUUACUUACACUUUGCAUUGCUUCUUUUUUUUUUUAACAACAUUUUUUUAAAUUUUCUUUUUUUUUAAAUUUUUGUAUUUAUUUUUGAGACAGAGAGAGACAGAACAUGAGCAGGGAAGGGGCAGAGAGAGAGGGAGACAUAGAAUCUGAAGCAGGCUCCAGGCUCUGGGCUGUCAGCACAGAGCCCGACGUGGGGCUCGAACUCACAGACUCUGAGAUCAUGGCCUGAGCCAAAGUCGGAUGCUCAACCGACUGAGCCACCCAGGCGCCCCUUGCAUUGCUUCUUUUAUCUUUCCUAUGGCCUGGAGAAAAAUGAAAUUAAGCCUCAUAUUUAACUGGUAGUGGAAAAAUGUAAAUCUGAUGAUCAAACCUCUGUUCUCUUUCCAGCUCUACUGUUAGUUAAUUUGUUGUGAACCUUUGGCAAAACGUAGCCUGUCUGGAUCUUGGACUUUUAAGAUAGAAGAUUCCAGUAUAAAGAUUUUAUGACUAUACUUCUUCUCUUUGUUAGGAGCAGAAUUAUAAAUCAAACUGUAUAUUAAAUGAGCUGGAGUUUAUAGUGGAAUGUAGUAGAAAAUCUUUUCUAAAGCUUUUACUUUAGGACGAUAAAUCUCUUCACAGACAUCCCUGAAAUUUUAUCAUGCCUAGUGUUUGGGCUCAUUAAAAAAAAAUUUGGGGGGCGCCUGGGUGACUCAGUCAUUUAAGCAUCCAACCCUUGAUUUUGGCUCCAGUCAUGAUCUCACAGUUGGCGGGAUGGAGCCCUGCAUCCGUCGGGCUCUGCACUGACAGCCUGGAGCCUGCUUGGGAUUCUCUCUCCCUCUCUCAAAAAUAAAUAAACAUUAAAAAAUUUUUUUUUUAAUCAUAAAUGCUUCUCCACUCUCCUGUAUUUCAAAAGCAAAAAAGUUCCUCCAAGUUUGCAUUUUUGUACAGCAGACUUGCUUAAAGCAAAACAUAAUGGAAAAUAAAGUAUUUGUUGAAAACCCAUGGUUGAAACUUAUCUAUAAAGAAGCCUUUAUUUUUUUCAUAGGUUAACCUAAGUUUUCUUGGAUGUGGAGAGUGUUGGGCUGCUCUUAGGUAUAGAAGGAUGUGAAAUGGAAUGAUGCGAUGAUGAGUGAAGUAUAGUCUGACCUGGUAUUGCCACUGCUUCAGGGUUGGCCUUGACCAGGGUAUGAUCCCUUAAUCUUCUCUCUGAGCUGAUUCUGGUUGUGGUUUUUCCACAUUGGUAUGUUUUAAUCUAUUUGCAUACUGAUUUUAUUAUGUAUAAGAAUGUUUCUUUGCUAUUCUUUUGAAUUGCUAAUACUUUGCUGUUUUCCUUCUUAGGUUGAGGUGAAAAAUCUGGCUUUUGAUAUCUUCGUGGAGGACUACAUUAUUUCAAUCCUGAAUCUGGUUCAGUUUCCUUAUUGACUUAUGAUAUUAAAAAUGCUUAAUUAACU
rnacentral:lncRNA from 1 species